rnacentral:rRNA from 1 species
UAAUACGGAGGAUCCAAGCGUUAUCCGGAAUCAUUGGGUUUAAAGGGUCCGUAGGUGGAUGAUUAAGUCAGAGGUGAAAUCCUGCAGCUCAACUGUAGAAUUGCCUUUGAAACUGGUUAUCCUGAGUCAUUAUGAAGUGGUUAGAAUGUGUAGUGUAGCGGUGAAAUGCAUAGAUAUUACACGGAAUACCGAUUGCGAAGGCAGAUCACUAAUAAUGUACUGACACUGAUGGACGAAAGCGUGGGUAGCGAACAGGAUUAGAUACCCUGGUAGUCCACGCCGUAAACGAUGGAUACUAGCUGUUCGGAUUUAGGUCUGAGUGGCUAAGCGAAAGUGAUAAGUAUCCCACCUGGGGAGUACGUUCGCAAGAAUG